GACGUAGGAUGCAAGCGUUGUCCGGAUUUAUUGGGCGUAAAGAGUUCGUAGGUGGUUCGUUAAGUCUGAUGUUAAAGACUGGGGCUCAACCCUGGAAGUGCAUUGGAUACUGGCGGACUUGAGUGUGGUAGAGGCAAUCGGAAUUCCAGGUGUAGCGGUGAAAUGCGUAGAUAUCUGGAGGAACACCGGUGGCGAAGGCGGCAUCCUGGACCAACACUGACGCUGAGGAGCGAAAGCCAGGGGAGCAAACGGG
rnacentral:rRNA from 1 species